UACGCUGGCGGCAGGCUUAACACAUGCAAGUCGAACGGUAGCAGGAAGAAGCUUGCUUCUUUGCUGACGAGUGGCGGACGGGUGAGUAAUGCUUGGGAAUCUGGCUUAUGGAGGGGGAUAACUACUGGAAACGGUAGCUAAUACCGCGUAAUAUCGAGAGAUUAAAGGGUGGGACUUUCGGGCCACCUGCCAUAAGAUGAGCCCAAGUGGGAUUAGGUAGUUGGUGGGGUAAAGGCCUACCAAGCCUGCGAUCUCUAGCUGGUCUGAGAGGAUGGCCAGCCACACUGGAACUGAGACACGGUCCAGACUCCUACGGGAGGCAGCAGUGGGGAAUAUUGCACAAUGGGGGGAACCCUGAUGCAGCCAUGCCGCGUGAAUGAAGAAGGCCUUCGGGUUGUAAAGUUCUUUCGGUGAUGAGGAAGGUGUUUUGUUUAAUAGACAAAGCAAUUGACGUUAGUCACAGAAGAAGCACCGGCUAACUCCGUGCCAGCAGCCGCGGUAAUACGGAGGGUGCGAGCGUUAAUCGGAAUAACUGGGCGUAAAGGGCACGCAGGCGGAUUGUUAAGUGAGAUGUGAAAGCCCCGGGCUUAACCUGGGAAUUGCAUUUCAGACUGGCAAUCUAGAGUAUUUUAGGGAGGGGUAGAAUUCCACGUGUAGCGGUGAAAUGCGUAGAGAUGUGGAGGAAUACCGAAGGCGAAGGCAGCCCCUUGGGAAUAUACUGACGCUCAUGUGCGAAAGCGUGGGGAGCA
rnacentral:rRNA from 1 species